UGUAGGAGUCAUACCUGCGAUGCAUCUGUCUCAGACUCCAUUGUCGGGGUGAGAUCUGUCUAUCGAUGGGGCCCGCUGGGUUAAGCAGGAGCUCGAUUUUUCUUUCGCUUCUCCUUCGGGCCCUUGGUCUCAGUCAGGCGCCGGUCGGAAGCUCCUUCGUCUGCGCGCAUGUAUUUGUACGCACGCUCCAGCAGUUCGGCAUAUGUCCGGGGGAGAG
rnacentral:lncRNA from 1 species